rnacentral:lncRNA from 1 species
CUUGGCAGAAACUCACACGUCAACCACCCAGUUUUAUUUGUAGAGAGAAUCUCUUAGAAGCAUCACCUGUCAAUAAAAAAAGCCUAUGGCCAAUGAGCUGAGGCAGGCAAGAGGAGGUGGGAGGGACAAUGGCAGGAAGAGAGGAUUCUGGGAAAUAGUGAGAGAAUAAAAGGGAGACUUGUCCAGGGAGCCGGACAUAAAUCACCAGCAAGUAGCUGCACUGAGGACAGCAUAAAGGGAGAGAUUUGAAGGAGAUUGGCGAGAAACACUGAGGGAGACAACACUGAGGGAAACUUGAGAAGGACGCUGAGGGAGACACUGAGGGAGAAGAGAGCUGAGACUGAAGGAGAGGGAUACAUAUUAUCAUACACAGAGAGAUUUAUGCA